ACCAGGUGCAGUGGUGUGUACCUGUAGUCCCAGCUACUCAGGAGGCUGAGGUGGGAGGAUCACUUGAGCCCAGGAGUUCUGGGCUGUAGUGUGCUAUGCUGAUCGAGUGUCCGCACUAAGUUCGGCAUCAAUAUGGUGACAUCCUGGGAGCGGGGGACCACCCGGUUGCCUAAGGAGGGGUGAACCAGCCCAGGUUGGAAACGGAGCAGGUCAAAACUCCUGUACUGAUCAAGAGUAGGAUCGUGCCUAUGAAUAGCCCCUGCACUCCAGCCUGAGCAACAUAGUGAGACCCUGUCUCUA
ensembl:misc_RNA Metazoa_SRP Metazoan signal recognition particle RNA